ensembl:lncRNA SCN1A-AS1 SCN1A and SCN9A antisense RNA 1
GGGCUGCAGGUCCCGAGCCCUGCCGCGCGGGAGGCGGCUGAGGCCCCGUGAGAAUUCGAGCGCCGCAGGGGCAGGCUGGCAGUGCUGGGGGACCCGGUGCACUCUCCGCAGCUGCUGGCUCGGGUGCUAAGCCCCUCACUGCCUCGGGCCAGCGGUGCCGACCCGCCGCUCCAAGUGCGGGGCGGGCGGAGCCCGCGCCCACCUGGAACUCGCGCGGGCCCGCCAGCGCCAACCGCAGCCGCGGUUCCCGCCCGCGCCUCUCCCUCCACACCUCCCCGCAAGCAGAGGGAGCCGGCUCCGGCCUUGGCCAGCCCAGAGACAGGCUCCCACAGUGCAGCGGCGGGCUGAAGGGCUCCUCAAGCACUGCCAGAGUGGACACCGAGGCCGAGGAGACGCCAAGAGCGAUGAAACAAGCUUCUGGUUCAAGAGUUUCUUCAGGUUCCACUACGGGCUGUUCUUCUACAGGUGCGCCGAUGUCCACAGUGCUACCUUCUGAUGAGCUACUGCUUUCAUUCAGUUUCUGAGUGAUGGUGAGGAGGAAUUGUGCCAGCUUGCUUCUUCACUGCCAUUUUGGAACCAGAACUCAGGUGAUGACUUUUUAGAUAUAACACCAAAGGCACGAUCCAUGAAAAAAAAGAAUUGACAAUCUGAUAUCAUUAAAAUGAAAAAUUUUGCUCUGUGAAAGAUACUAUCAAGAGAAUAGGAAGGCAAGCCACAUACUAAGAAAAAUAUUUGCAAAAGACAUGUCUGAUAAAGGACUGUUACCCCAAACAUGCAAAAAAUUAUUAAAGCUCAACAAUAAGAAAAUGAACAAUCUGAAUAAAAAAUGGGCCAAAGACCUGAACAGACACUUCACCAAAGAAGACACACAGAUGGCAAAUAAGCAUAUGAGAAGAAGAUGCCCCACAUCCAUCAUAUGUCAUUAGUGAAAUGCAAAUUAAAACAAUAAGAUAGCACUACACCCUCAUUAGAAUGGUCGAAGUCCAGAACACUAACAACAUUAAAUGCUGAUGAGGAUAUGGAGCAAUAGAAGCUCACAUUCAUUGCUGGUGGGCAAGCAAAAUGGUACAGCAACUUGGAAGACAGUUUAGCAGUUUCUUAAAAACCAAACAUACUCUUACCAUAUGAUCCAGCAAUUGCAUACCUUAGGAUUUAACCAAAGGAGUUGAAAACUUAUGUCCACACAAAAUCCUGCACACGGAUGUAUACAGCAGCCUUAUUCAUAAUUGCCCAAACCUGGAAGCAACCAAGAUGUCCUUCAGUAGGUGAAUGGAUAAAUAACCUGUGGUACAUCCAGACAAUGGAAUAUUACUCAGCAUUAAAGGAAAUGAGCUAUCAAGCCAUGAAAAGACAUGGAGAAACUUUAAAUACAUAUUACUAAUUGAAAGAAGCAAUCUAAAAUGGACAUACAGUAUGAUUCCAACUAUAUGACAUUAUGGAAAAGACAAAACUACAGAGACAAUAAAAAGAUCAGUGAUUGCCAGGGCAGUGAAAAUACUUUGCAUGACACUGUAAUAGUGGACACAUGUCAUUAUACAUUUGUGCAAACCCAUAGAAUGUACAAUACCAAGAUUGAAUUAUAAUGUAAACUAUGGACUUUGGGUGAUUAUGAUAUAUCAAAUUGGGUUCAUCAGUUGUAACUAUAUACAAUACCUAAACACUGUCUCUAAAAUAGCUCUUGAAUCAAAGAGGACUUUGAUUCUAAUACAUAUAAUAUAGCACAUAUGUUAAAAUAUACCUAUAUACAAUACAGGUAUAUUUGAACUGCGUUUAAUUUGUUAAUUUAGGGAAAAAAUUAAUUUUUUUCCUAAAUUAAUUUUCUUCCAUUGUAUUUUUUCUCUUCUAAAUAGAUUAUUUUUACAGUAAUACAUAUGUGCUACUCUGGUGCGAGAUAUUGAUAGUUGGGGGAGGCUCUGCGUGUGUAGAGAAAGGGGAAACUCUAUAUUUUUGGCUUAAUUUUGCUGUGAAUCUAAAACUACUGUAAAACUAGUCUAUUUCAAAGAGAAAAAGUACAAUGGAAGAAAUGUUUCUAAAUACAAUGUAAGCAUUUUUUAAAAGCUUUGAAUAAACCAAAAGUAAAUAUAAAUGGAUGGAAAGUUAUAUCCUAUUAUUAGAUAGGAAUGCUAUAUCAUAAAGAUAUUAAUUUUCCCUAAAUUAAUAAAUUAAAUGCAGCCUUUGAAAAAUAAUCACAAAAUUCAUAUAACUAGAGAAAUCUAUUUGAGACUUCAUGUGGAAAAAUAAGCAAACAAGAAUAACCAGAAAAUUCUUAAAAUGAAUUUUGGUUUCAAAGUCCUCACUGAUGCAAGAACUAUUUAAAAGAAAGUGUUUAAAUUUUUCAAAUGAUAGAUUUUCCUUCUAAGUUUUAAAUUUAUGUUUAGUUUUAUUACCCUAUGCUCUGAUAAUGUAGUUCGUACCAUUUCUGUUUCUUGGAAUUUAUUGUGAUUU